AAGAAGGUGUUUUUUUUUUUUUUUCCCUGAGAAUUUGUGAGAAGCGCGGUUGAUGUUAAGGAUUUUCUUUAAUUUUUUCUCAGUAUUUAUGGCGGUGGUUGUAAUGUUCAGGAGAGCUCCAGAGUUGGCACGUCAACUUGACUUAAAGGGCAGCGUUGCCACCGCCAUACAAUUCAUCUUUUUUUUUUUAAUUGGUUUUACAAAUCAUUAUUAUUUAGUUUAUUUUUCUGGUUCUGAGUUGUUGAACCUGGCGCUAACUGUGCAUCAUUUCUGCCUUAAUUUUGCCCUGUUCGUAGGUGAAAAGGACAAAU
rnacentral:misc_RNA from 1 species